rnacentral:rRNA from 1 species
AGUGAACGCUGGCGGUAGGCCUAACACAUGCAAGUCGAACGGCAGCACACUACGAGCUUGCUCUUACCGGUGGCGAGUCGCGUACGGAUGAGGAAUACAUCCGAAUCUACUUUUUCGUGGGGGUUAAGGUAGGGAAACUUACGCUCAUACCGCAUACGACCUUCGGUUGUGAGCGGUGGAUAUUCGGACCUUGCGCGAUUGAAUGAGCCGAUGUCGGAUUAGCUGGUUGGCGGGGUAAUGGCCCACCAAGGCGACGAUCCGUAGCUGGUCUGAGAGGAUGAUCAGCCACACUGGAACUGGAACGCGGUCCAGACUCCUAAGGGAGGCAGCAGUGGGGAAUAUUAGACAGUGGGCGCAAGCAUGGUACAGCCAGACCGCGUGGGUGAAAAAAGCCUUCGGGUUGUGAAGCCGGUUUGUUGGGAAAGAAAAGCAGCAGGUUAAUACCCCGCUGUUCUGACGGUACCCAAAGAAUAAGCACCGGCUAACUACGUG